GCACAAGCGGCGGAGCAUGCGGAUUAAUUCGAUGCAACGCGAAGAACCUUACCAAGGCUUGACAUACACCGGUAAGCCCAGAGAUGGGUGCCCCUUUGUGGUCGGUGGACAGGUGGUGCAUGGUUGUCGUCAGCUCGUGUCGUGAGAUGUUGGGUUAAGUCCCGCAACGAGCGCAACCCUCGUCCUAUGUUGCCAGCGGGUCAUGCCGGGGACUCAUGGGAGACUGCCGGGGUCAACUCGGAGGAAGUGGGGAUGACGUCAAAUCAUCAUGCCCCUUAUGUCUUGGGCUUCACGCAUGCUACAAUGGCCGGUACAAAGGGCUGCGAUACCGCGAGGUGGAGCGAAUCCCAGAAAGCCGGUCUCAGUUCGGAUUGGGGUCUGCAACUCGACCCCAUGAAGUCGGAGUCGCUAGUAAUCGCGGAUCAGCAUGCCGCGGUGAAUACGUUCCCGGGCCUU
rnacentral:rRNA from 1 species